rnacentral:rRNA from 1 species
AACGAACGCUGGCGGCAGGCCUAACACAUGCAAGUCGAGCGAGGACUUCGGUUCUAGCGGCGGACGGGUGAGUAACGCGUGGGAAUGUGCCCUUCUCUACGGAAUAGCCCUGGGAAACUGGGAGUAAUACCGUAUACGCCCUAUUGGGGAAAGAUUUAUCGGAGAAGGAUCAGCCCGCGUUGGAUUAGGUAGUUGGUGGGGUAAUGGCCUACCAAGCCGACGAUCCAUAGCUGGUUUGAGAGGAUGAUCAGCCACACUGGGACUGAGACACGGCCCAGACUCCUACGGGAGGCAGCAGUGGGGAAUCUUAGACAAUGGGGGCAACCCUGAUCAAGCCAUGCCGCGUGAGUGAUGAAGGCCUUAGGGUUGUAAAGCUCUUUCAGCUGGGAAGAUAAUGACGGUACCAGCAGAAGAAGCCCCGGCUAACUCCGUG